CCAAGAGGCGCCUCAAUGUCCUUUUAAAGAAGCAAGAAGAGAGCCAGUUUCACCCUCUGGAGUGGUUGGCAAGGGAAGCCUGCAACCAGGACGCUCUCCAGGAGGCGGGCACAUUCAGGCACACCCUCUGGAAGCGGGUCCAAGGUGCUGUCACCCCUCUGCUGGCGAGCAUGAUAUCAUUCAUCGACACAGACGGCAACCUAGAGUUACUGACCAGGCCAGAUACUCCGCCCUGGGCAAGAGAUCUUUGGAUGUUUAUUUUCAGUGACACGAUGCUUCUGAACAUUCCUCUUGUGAUGAAUAAUGAAAGACAUAAAGGUGAGAUGGCCUACAUCGUGGUGCAGAACUACAUGAACCUUUCCGAGAACGCUUCCAACAAUGUCCCUUUCAGCUGGAGAAUCAAGGACUAUCUGGAGGAGCUGUGGGCCCAGGCUCAGUACAUCACGGACGCAGAAGGUGAGGCCACCUCAAGGCAGGUCAGAUUCAGCACAGGUGAAUCACAAAGGGAUUGCCUGGCAGUGAAAAGCAGAUGGGUGGCUAGAAUUGCAAGGUGAAUUUUGGAGUUUUUAGUUUUCACACUUUGUGCAGUAAGCGUCCAAUUGACGUCACCGCGUCAUUUUAAAGUUUCUGCUGAA
rnacentral:sRNA from 1 species